rnacentral:lncRNA from 1 species
GCUAUCUACCGACACUAAUGCCAGGCAUCGCCUCCCCCCAUGGAGCGCGGCUUCAUCAGUACGUCGACGGCAUUCCCGAAGGAGCAUGGGCCCAGAAUCUACUGCGACCCGCAACCACCGCGUGGGCAUCCCAUAUAGGGGCAAGUCCGGCUCAACAGCCCAGGACGGUUCCUCUUAAUUAUCACACAGCCAAAUCAUACUCGGCCCCAAGACACUUUGCAUUUCACUCAACGCUUCUACUUAAAAU